rnacentral:rRNA from 1 species
CGUAAAGCGCACGCAGGCGGUUUGUUAAGCUAGAUGUGAAAGCCCCGGGCUCAACCUGGGAUGGUCAUUUAGAACUGGCAGACUAGAGUCUUGGAGAGGGAGUGGAAUUCCAGGUGUAGCGGUGAAUGCGUAGAUAUCUGGAGGAACAUCAGUGGCGAAGGCGACUCCCUGGCCAAAGACUGACGCUCAUGUGCGAAAGUGUGGGUAGCGAACAGGAUUAGAUACCCUGGUAGUCCACACCGUAAACGCUGUCUACUAGCUGUGUGUGCCUUUAAGGCGUGCGUAGCGAAGCUAACGCGCUAAGUAGACCGCCUGGGGAGUACGGCCGCAAGGUUAAAACUCAAAUGAAUUGACGGGGGCCCGCACAAGCGGUGGAGCAUGUGGUUUAAUUCGAUGCAACGCGAAGAACCUUACCUAGGCUUGACAUGCUUGUCGUACUCUCCCGAAAAGGAGAGGUCACUUCGGGUGGACAAUGCACAGGUGCUGCAUGGCC